UUAAGUCGAUUUCGCCGACUUAAUCCAUAACCAGUCGGUCAUUCUCGUAAUUGCAAUUUAAGUAAUCCUUUAAGCCAUUUGCAAAACCAUGUUUGGGCACUUUUUGGGAAUUUUUCUGCACCCCAGUCUCUCCAAUCUCAGGCCCAAUGACUCCAUAGUUGCUCCAACUCAAACCAAUCCUAGUCUAUAUUAUUUUCAACCAGCCUAUAUAUCAAAAAAUAAAAAAUAAAUCCAGGCCCAAAUUUUCAAUUCCGGCCCCAUCUAAAAUUCCUCUUUCCAUCCCUUUUUAAGUCAACCCGUCCAAGACAAAUAACCCCAAAUUGACCCAACCAAAAAUUCGUUGAUCCGACCACCUUUUCCCUAAAAAAAACUGAAUACCGCAAUUUUUUUCCGGACGAUAAAGAACUUAAGACGAUACCAAGCGAUAGUAGUCAUGAAGAAGCCAAGCGCGUAGGACCCAUUAUUCAUCCGAGUGUCUAUUACAGCAACGGCACGCGAUUUGUCCUUGCUUACGGCUGCUCGUGACAGUUCGCUCCACAUCACUUGCCAAGGAAAAUCGUUCAAUCCGGAGCAUCAAUCCGCAUUUUCUAUAUCUGGAAUGGUGCAAAUUCGCAGAUAAGGGUAGGAACGGGAACGCGGGUUGGUGGAGUCAUCGUCCAGAAAGCUUGUUGUCCUAGUCGCUUCCUCGUAAAAGGUAAAUACCUCUCCUUUUCAGCUCAGUCUUCUCCUCUGUGUCUCUCCCAUGUUGAGGUCAUUAUGCUAUUGAACUGAAGUUUAUUGUACAUUCAUUCUAUUUUUUAUGUUACUUUAUAAAAUGGCUAAUAUCAAAAGAAAAUUGAUUAGGCGAGCCGUUUAUCAUGUCAUCUGUUGGUCACAAUUCUAAAUGGUAUCAUGUACAGUUCCUCCUCCCGUCUGCCAUAUCUUCUUUCUCUUUACACUAAGUGGUCAUUCUUCGAGUCUCUCCUUCGCUCUUUCACCAUGUGAUCAUUCUCUGUUCAUUCACUUUAAAGGUAGGUUCCAAACCUUGUUGUCCCUGCAGUUUAACUUCCAUAGUUUAGUCAUUAUAUCUAGUUGAUUGUUUUAGUGUUACUUUUUUCCUGUUUAGCAUGAACUUGCGUUAUUAUUUUGAUGUUGAUGUCAUUCUUUCCCCCCUAGUCGGAUGAAUGAAUGAAGGCAUCAAUGUUCACAGUUAAUUCGGUCAUCGUGCUUGCUAUGUGAGAUGUUUUGGCUGUUGGUUUUAAGCUUAUCUCAUUUUUUUCGUUUUUUUGUAGUCCUUUUUUUUGGAGUUCACCAAUUGUUAAAUAUAUAAAUAUAUAUAUAUGUGUAUAUAUAUAUAUAUAUAUAUAUAUAUAUAUAUGCUAUUUGCUGAUAGUUUAUUAAAUUUUUUCUUAUUUUUUUGUUCUUUUCCAUUAAUUCUUUAUGUUCAAAGGCAAAUGUUUAUUGUGGUAGUAUUUUCAUUUGUUUAUGUCAUUGAUGCUUUCUUACUAUCAUUAUAUUAGUAUUAUUUUAUUAUAUAAAUUCCAAAGCACUCUGGUUCAGAUAAUGGGUACUUAUUUCUAAUUUCUGAAUUACUUCAGUCUGUGUCAUCCUUGUUAAAGUUACUGCCGACUCCGUGCAUAUUUAAUUUGUCCACCUCUUUAAAUUCGCCUGACUGCCGACUAGAGUUUAUGCUAGGAUUUCUUGUUCGUCUAUUUCAUGGGCAACCCUUGUAGUGUGUAGCAGAGGAGUUUUGAAUAUUUAUUUUGUUGAAAUUAUUUUCUUGGUAUGCUUAGUGUUCUAUUUGGCUUAUUCAAGCCUGGGAAGAUUUAGCAGUUAGAUAUUGUUGUUAUUUCGUUAUUUUUGGCUUAAUGAUCUUGUUAUUUUUUAUUUGAGCAAGACUCUGUGGUUGAGCUUGUUAUUUGUUCUUCUUCGUUUCCAAUUUAGCUGAUGUUUACCAUUUUGCUUGCAUGUAAAAUUUGUCUGAGUUCGCCAUGAACUCUUCUUCCUUGAAUUUUUGGAGAGCAGUAAAGGCUCAACAUGUCCAUCGAGUCUCCAAUCUUUAAAUUGACGGACAGUUCCCAAAGUUUAAAGAAUUGGAAAAUUGAAGAAGUUGGAGCCGAAGUUUUUUUAUUUUUUUAUUUUUAUAUCCUAUUGUAUUUAUUCUGGGACUUAGCCAUUAUCGUCUUUUAAUUUGUAUCAUUAUUUGUUUAGUUUAGGACAAGUACAAAAUGGAUCGAAACACAAAAAGAUAAUGGGUCAGAAACCUAAUAUAGGUGGGUUCAAAAACAGUCAAGGCGAAAAGAACCCGGAUUUUGACCCAAAUCUCUUUUCCUCUCUCUCUUUACUUGCUUUUAGUUACUUGUUUAUUUUAUUUGUAGUUAGUUCUAAAGGUUAGGAAAAUUCAAUUCCCCACAAAACGCCUCUUUGAAUUUAAUGAUUUAGUCAAAUAAAAGGCCUAAAAGAUUUUACAAAUAAAAAUUGACUUAGAUAAAUAAUUCUCCUUCAAACAUAAUCCGAAAUGAUUUUUUUUGCUUUCAAUUUUCAAACAACUCUAAAGAGUAUUCAGAUCGCAAUUGUAAGUCUUAUCCAGAUAUUAAGUUAGUGUUCGGAUAGUCGUAAUUUAGCGGAACAUAUCAGGUGCUUUUAAAACCUUCCUAAGACGAUAAUAAGAAUCCUUGAACCCUUAUGAUUGUUUUAAAACAGUUUUUCUGUUAUGUCUUUUGAAAACAAUAUUUUUCUUGGUUUUUCUCAAAAAUUAAGUGGCGACUCUCUAAAAAGUUGAAAACUUUACAAAAACAAAAUACUUUUCCAAUUUUGGAUAAAACAGUGAGGGCACUAAUUGCAAUAUCAGAAAGUUGGUACCUUGGCGACAAACAAAAGAGUAGAGGUGUCAGUACAUGGUUAGUCUGUGUGAUGGUCUGAUCGACAUGAGUAAGCCUAUCAAGACUAAGAGAAGAAACAUGGACUAAAGCAACAAAAAAGUUGGGAUUGAUAGCCAUGUGAUUGCGGAAGCUUAAAAGAGGAUACUUGUAAACAUAGUGUUGUGUUGAGUAAUAGUGUGUCGCUUGAGGAAAAACAACAAAUUUAAGUUGAGGGUGUUUAUGUAACAUGGUUUCACGAUACAUUUAACUCUUUUUCCUUAAGGUUGAUGUGUGUCUAAAUCCUUUUUGUUGUAGUUUUACUGCGUUUUUGUCUUUGUUUUACAGGAAAGUUGCCCAAAACCAAAAUGCAGAAGGCUGUGAAGAACCUGUGCAGAAGUCACCCACGAAGGCUAUCGACGACCCUUCAUCCCAUAGACGGACCGUAGGUGGUGACCAUCGAUUGGAGGUUAAGGUAUCUUGAAGCAACUCGGGGAAUUCUGACUACAUGUGAAACUACGGUAGGAUCGACGGUCCGUCGAUUGAUCAACGGACCGUCCUGGCAAAAAGUCGAUGUGAACAGUGAAUGUCUCAGUUUCCGAUGUCGAAGAAAAACUAAGUAUGGAACAACGGGAAGCAUCGACGGACCGUAGGUGAAUCGACGGACCGUGCUGUUGGUCCAUCAAUUGGAACAGAGAAGAUACAAAGUGAAGGCUAAAAAAAGAUGUUAAGUAUGGACUGACUGAGGCGAUCGACGAUGUGUCAUUUGAUCGAAGGACCAUCUGUGGGGGACGUCAAUUGAAGUCGCGCUUUGGAAAAACUUUACUUGUUUUUAUUCCUUUUAGUUUAUGACUAUAUUUUAUUAUCAAUAGGGUGAAAAACCUCAUUUUUUUGGUUGGAUUCUUUUAAUAAAUUCAUACUUUUGUUCUUGGAGAUUUGUUUAAACUACUUGGGCAUUAAUUCAAAUUCCCAAAUUGGGUUUUUAAAAUAA